rnacentral:rRNA from 1 species
UGCAGCGACGCCGCGUGAGGGAUGACGGCCUUCGGGUUGUAAACCUCUUUCAGUAGGGAAGAAGCGUAAGUGACGGUACCUGCAGAAGAAGCGCCGGCUAACUACGUGCCAGCAGCCGCGGUAAUACGUAGGGCGCAAGCGUUAUCCGGAAUUAUUGGGCGUAAAGAGCUCGUAGGCGGUUUGUCGCGUCUGCCGUGAAAGUCCGGGGCUCAACUCCGGAUCUGCGGUGGGUACGGGCAGACUAGAGUGAUGUAGGGGAGACUGGAAUUCCUGGUGUAGCGGUGAAAUGCGCAGAUAUCAAGAGGAACACCGAUGGCGAAGGCAGGUCUCUGGGCAUUAACUGACGCUGAGGAGCGAAAGCAUGGGGAGCGAACAGGAUUAGAUACCCUGGUAGUCCAUGCCGUAAACGUUGGGCACUAGGUGUGGGGGACAUUCCACGUUUUCCGCGCCGUAGCUAACGCAUUAAGUGCCCCGCCUGGGGAGUACGGCCGCAAGGCUAAAACUCAAAGGAAUUGACGAGGGCCCGCACAAGCGGCGGAGCAUGCGGAUUAAUUCGAUGCAACGCGAAGAACCUUACCAAGGCUUGACAUGAACCGGAAAGAUCUGGAAACAGGUCCCCCACUUGUG